CUAGCUGAGAGGAGGUGCAUGGCCGUCGUCAGUUCGUACUGUGAAGGCAUCCUGUUAAGUCAGGCAACGAGCGAGACCCACGCCAACAGUUGCCAGCAUGUCCUCCGGGAUGAUGGGGACACUGUUGGGACCGCCUCUGCUAAAGAGGAGGAAGGAAUGGGCAACGGUAGGUCAGCAUGCCCCGAAUUAUCCGGGCUACACGCGGGCUACAAUGGUCAGGACAAUGGGUAUCGACACCGAGAGGUGGAGGCAAUCUCCUAAACCCAUCCGUAGUUCGGAUUGUGGGCUGCAACUCGCCCACAUGAAGCUGGAAUCUGUAGUAAUCGUGUCUCAAAAUGGCACGGUGAAUAUGUCCCUGCUCCUU
rnacentral:rRNA from 1 species